AAUUAUUUUGAAGAUGCUAUUUUACUUGUCCUCAAUUUUGAACUUUCAUCUAUUAUCGAUUAUGAUCAUAAAAAUUAUAUCACCUUUAAUUGUAAUCCCUUUAAGUCGGACACUAAAGGCAAUUAAGAGAUUAAAUAGCUAGGUGUUAAUUGCCCUCAGGGUGAUAACUGUUUGGAUGCGAAUAUCCCAAGCUGACACUUGUGACAUGACUAAUACCACGUGUCUGCAAUCACCAAUUUCGACAUGGAAAAAUGCAAUCACAAAACAAUUCGAAAUCUACGUUUUGUAUUACGAAAUUUCAAAGAUUGAAACGUUUUUUUUUUAUUUUUUUUUAAAAGGUCGUUUAUUUGUGCAUCUCUCCAAAAAUUACUUUCUUUCUCUUCCGGUAAUACGAGAGCGAGAAUUUUGGUUUAGAGCUAAACUAAGUUUAAUACUUCUUUAAAAAGUUAUCAUAAUUGGCUUAAGUUUAUGUUUAAUCCAUUUAAUGCAUUAAAAGCGUCUUAUUCAUUCACAAUCUUUUGUCAAACAAUGUUUAUUCUCGGACUCAUUUUCGUAAAUUUUUCUACGGCCGCCAUUGCACAUUUUUGUGUAAACUACGGAUCGGAACCGGACCAGAUAUGACAAAAAUCCGCAUUUUCACGAUAAUGACAACAGAUGGACAGUAGACAGAAAAAAUAUACCAAGAGAGAAAACUACGCAUUAACAGACUAUUUGUUAGAUAACUUUGUUAAAAAUACAUAUCAUUUUGAUGUAAAGAUAAGAAACAACUGGGACUAAUUCAUUGAGUGCCAUGAAACA
rnacentral:lncRNA from 1 species